rnacentral:tRNA from 1 species
GUGAGUGUAGCUCAACGGUUAGAGCGCUGGACUGUGGCUCCAGGUGUUGGGGGUUCGAGUCCCCUCACUCACCCCA